UUUAGCAGAAAGUGUUCUCCUCCAGUACCAGAGCUUCGGGUUUCUUGUCGUUCCCAUCUUCACCUUCGUCUUGACUUCUCUAUCUUCCAAAUCCCUAAUUUCGAAAACCAAAAUAUCAGGAGCUCACCGACCUUGAGGUUUUUGAGGAGCUCUCCGAUAGCGAUUUUGAGGAGCUUGUCGUUUUCUGUAUGUUGGACUGGUAGAAAAAUCGCACAUCUCCUACCGCAGCGAGUUCUCGGAGCGGUGGAGUAGAAGCAGGUGGCGCGGGGGAGGCUGAGCGGUCCAAGUUCGUGGUGAUGAAGGCCAAGCAGGAGCGGCGGGCCGCGAUUAUUCGUGCUGAGGGAGAGAGCGAUGUGGCGAAGCUAAUCUCCGACGCUACUGCCUCGGCUGGAAUGGAGCUGAUUGAACUCAGGAGGAUUGAAGCGUCCAGGGAAAUAGCCUCCACGCUUGCAAAGUCGCCGAAUGUUUCUUAGUUACCUGGCAGACAGAACCUGACGAUGGCUCUUAAUGCUUCCCGUUUAUCUUGAUAAUGCCGGUCACAGUGCAUUGUUAACAUUUGUGAUGCUCCCCCAAAAUGUAAAGGGGUGGUCAAUCCUAAGUCAAACAGUACUGUUCUGACUAUCAUUUUCCUUGAUGAGGCUGAAAGAGAAAAAAGAACAGGGAAUCAGUCAUUAUUGGAGCACCAAAAAAAUCUCAAGAAACCAUUGCAGAAGCACUUCCAGAGCUCCAUGUUAACCAGGUACCUGCGAGAUUAUUUGGAGGGCAAGAAGCGCAUGUCCUUGGUACAAUGAAGUUGAACCAUCAAAUAUAGUUCCAAAAGAACGGCAUUACCAAGAAUGAUAAAAACAGUGCUGAAGAAAAGGGAGAACAUUACAGAAGGUAGUACAUGACUUAAUGUUCUGAAACGCUUUUCUUCUUACAGUGAUGAGAGGUAACUUUUGCUUUUAAAAUUUCACUAGCAACAUCAUAAUUAACAUGGUGAAGAGGUGCCCUUGUCGGUGUUUUCUUAAUUAUGCUAGAAAAAGCUGAGAAAAUAGUAUAUGGGUCGCUUCUCGUCUGAUCCUUGAUGUGGCAAUGAAAUAGGAAUAAUAAUUGAGAUCUUGUAAUUCUUUAGAUUAUUGUCAGAUUAGACUGAAGCCAGACAAAUUAUGCAGUGGUCCAAAGGUGAUAAUGCUUCAAUCUGGUCUUACAAGGCUAAUUGAGUUUCUUUAAAAUCUGAAUUUCUUCUCCUGUUGCGUUAAAUUCUCUCUCUUGCAUUAAAUUCACAAAUUCAUCUCUCAGCAUUUUUCUAUAAAACAAUUGAUCAUCUUAUUUACCCUUGGCCAUUUCAUUGUUCAGUAAAAUGGUUUCAAAUUCUAUGUUUUCUUAUGUUUUGGUUUAUUCGUGUUUGAAGCUAAUAGAUUUCAUUCAAUACAAGUACUUUCACAUGCAUGUUUAUAUCUCUGUUUUUCAUUGUAUGAGAUGUCUCAUGGAAAUAAGGCUUCAAAGGUUCGAACAGAAAGUCUUUCAUGAUCCCAUUUUAUUAUAAUCAAAAGCGAAAAAAAAAAAUCUGUGCACAUUUCCGGCGGUUUUGGUAAAUCCCCUGUUAUUUCCGUCGGUUUUGGCCAAACCCUGGUUAUUUCCGGCGGUUUUGGACAAACCCCGGUUAUUUUCGGCGGUUUUGGCAAAACCCCCGUUAAUACCGGCGGUUUUGAAAAAAUCCCACUAACAGCGAGCAGCUUUUCCCAGUGGUUUUCCACAGCUUUUCCAGGGGUUUUCCUAACCCCGGGUAACAUAUUUUCUGGGGGUUAAAACCCCCGGAAACGAGAAAAAUAACUCCCCGUAAAAUUGUAUAUUUUUGUAGUGAUAUUGGAGGACAAGUACAAUGAACUGGCAGAGGAUGAACAUCAGACAGUGACUCAAAAAGCUGCAUUGAGAAAGACACAAGUGAAAGAAAGAUCAACUUUGUACUUUCUGUACAAUGUAGUGGAUGAAUAAGAGUUUGAGAAAAUAACUAAUGCAAAGUCAACAAAAGAAGCCUGGGAAAUUCUGGAGGUGACGUACAAAGCAGAUAUCCGCAUGAGGCAGGUUCGAGUAUAGGCUAUCAGAAGAGAGUUUGAAUAUAUGGAGAUGGAUGAAAAGGAGGGAGUUGUCAAGUUCAUAGCUCGAGUGCAGAAGAUGGCUAACCAACUCAGAUUCAUUGGAAAAGAGAUGCCUCCUAACUAGGUUGUGAAAAAUAUCUUGAGAAAUCUGACGGAUGAUUUUAAAAGUAUCAUGGUCAUUAUUGAAGAGAUAAAGGAUCUGUCAAUUCUCACUAUGGAGGAAUUAAGUAGGUCAUUAAAGGCCCACAAACUGAGGAAGAAAAAGAAAAAGAAGGAACCUGAUGAUCAAGCACUAUUGGCACAAUGUGACUCAAAUGGAACUCGAAAUACUUAGAGUCGAGGUUUUAGAGGUAGUGGACAAGGUAGAUGUGGCUGAGGUGAUAAUGAAGUCGGCACAAAUGAGACUGGACAACAAAAUUGGCGUGAUUGUGGUCGUGCAAGAGGUCGUGGAGGCUUGUCUAAGACAGGUGUGGAUUGCUUCAAAUGUGGUAAAUAUGACCGCUAUGCAAACAAAUGCAAAUCAAGAAGCUGUUAUAAUUAUGGAAAGACCAGCCACAAAGCAAGGCUUUGCCAAGUUGAGAAGAAAAGUGAGACAAACCUUACAGAAGAAGAUGAAGAAUAUAUAGGGAUUUUGUUUUUUUCAAACAACUCAGACAUUUUCAAGACCUAGUUGUUUGAGGUAGUGCAAGAGGAGAUCAAGCAACUUGAUGCCAAGCAGAUUUAGACCAAGUUGUUUAAGGCUGAACAUGAGGAGACUAAGGUGUUUGGAGUUAAGUAGGAGAAAAUCAGGUUGUCUAGAGCCAAUGAAGUGAAGGUCGACCUGUUGAGUAUCGAGUUUUCAAAGAACUCGACAAUGCUAAUGAAGUGCUCGAAAAUGAAAGAGAUGAGCUCGAUAUAUGGUGCAACAAACAUGAAGAAGGAAAAAUUGGAGAAGAAAUUCAAACAAAAUGAUGAAGAGACUCAACGGAUAGGGAGACUUCUAGAUGAACCUAAUGAGACUAUGAAUAAAUAAAAGGCUGAGCUUGAGAAGGUAAAGAAGGUGGUUGAAGACAAUGACGAGGAAACAUCUAGUGUUCUUGAACUAGAAGAAAAUGGGAAAGAAGAUGAAAAUGUUAAGACGAACCUAGGUGUGGGAAGCUUGGAUACUGAUAUAGCAAAAAAUCUAAUGAAUAAAAUUUUAGAAGAGAUGAAGAAGUUGGUCAAGGUUGCUGAGAGGUCAGCCAAGAUUUAUGAGAUGUCGCCUAAAGUUGGAAACAAGUUAGUCAAUGUUAUUGAGAAGUUGGACAAAAAGAAGAAUAAGUCGGGCAAAAAAUUAGAGAGUUAAGGGGAAAGACAACACGUCUAACAUGAAGAAUAUGAAGAAUCCAAUUCUUAAUGGAAGAAGCAAACCCGAUGUGGAAUGAUACACAUGGAAAACUAGGGUGCAAAGGUGAAGGAUGGACAAAUUUAAGUUUAUGGGAGAGUUUUGUUAGGAUAAACUUAAAUAUAUGGGUUUUAUUAGUAAUUUUGUUUGAGUCUUAUUUUAUUUUUUUGGGUAUAGUAAUAUUUAGUUUGAUUUUGAUAGAGAUAAAAUAGGGAUUAAUAGUUUUGGUUUUCCAUUUAUUUAGGUGCAUUAUUAUUUUAUUUGGUGGAUAUAAGAUAGAGAUAGAAUAAGCAAUUGUUUUUAUUUUGAGUCAGUUGAUAUUUUGUUAUGAGUUUUUAUUCUUUGUACUUAGCUGCAAGUCCUAUUUGUAUAUAUUUAAAGGGUGUCAAUAUUCAAUGAAAAUAACCAUAGUGAAUUGAAAAGUCCUAUCAUAGUGUGUUCCACAUUUUUUUUAACAAGCAUGCCAUAGUAAUCUCAAACAUUUUGUUUGAAAUUGAGGAAUGCUUGUCUUUCCCUCUGUAUUAAUCUAUCAUAGUGUGUUCCACAUUUUUUUAACAAGCAUGCCAUAGUAAUCUCAAACACUUUGUUUGAAAUUGAGGAGUGCUUGUCUUUCCUUUUGUAUUCAUCUCACUUGUGAACUUUGUGAUAACGAGUUGAAUCCAAGAACAAAUACUUUGGUAUGCAGUGUAAACAAACACUGAAAACAAUAUUUUGAGAAAGUAACUGCAUAUACAAUAUUUCUACGACCUCUCUUUGUUCACUAUUCCAAUUCAAGCAAGGAAGAAAGUUUGGAAGUAGAAUUUUAAGUGAAAGGAAAAUUGAAGGAAACACCUCAGGCCAAUACAAAAGAUAGUCUUUAAGUUGAUUCUUUAUCUAAAGGAGAUUAAAGCAAUAACUCGUAGUUGAGAUGUGUUCAGCUUUAUCUAUCGAUCGAGAGGGUUAUUGUCCUUUGCGUAUUUCUCAUCUAAGAUACAAGGUUGCCUCUAAUGAAGUGACAUCGGGCCAUUAGUGCUCUUCCUCUUAAUCCUAUCCCUAACAUAGGUUGCACCGUUGUACCCUUUGCAAUCUGGAACUUUCCGAUCUUUUAAAACAAAGACCAAGGUCAGUAGUUCUACUAAGAUAACAAAAGAUUCGUUUAACAAUAGUUGGAUGAGUUUCCCUAGGAUUUGACAGAAAUCUAGCACAUAGACAUACGCUAAACAUUAUGUCAGACUUAGACGUUGUAAGGUAUAAAAGUGAACCUAUCAUUCAAUGAUAGACAAUGUUGUUCACUUUUGUUGAGCUCUCAUCUAACCGUAAGAUGGUCGUUUGUUGCAUAAGAGUCUUCAUCUCCUUAGAUGUAUCUAGGUUGAACUUAUUGAGAAACUCCGUUACGUACUUCGUCUGGUGGAUGAAGAUGGUGUCUGGUUCUUGUCUAAUUUGCAGACCUUGGAAGAACGUGAGCUCAUCCAUCAUGCUCAUCUCAAACACACUUUACAAUAUCUUAGAGAACUUCUUGCAUAAAGAUUCGUUAGUAGCACCAAAAAUGAUGUCAACAACGUAAAUUUGCAUAAUAAUGAAAUCUUUAUUUAGAUUUUUGCGAAAAAGUUGUAUUUACUUUACCCCUUGAAAAACCCUUUUGAAGUAAAAUUGAACUUAAGCGUUCAUACCAAGAUUUGGGAAUGUUUUAAAGCAUAUAAAAUUUAUUCAAUUUGAAAACAUGUUUGGGCUUAAUAGAACACUCAAAUCCAGGAGGUUGUUCUAGUGAAACUUUCUCUUUGAUAUCAUCAUUAAGGAAAACACUUUUUACAUCCAUUUGAAAUAAUUUAAUUUUACUAAAUGUAACAAAGGAUAAAAGGAUUCUUGUUUAUACAAGUUAUCUUGUUUAUUUAGUAGUAAAUACAAUUAAACAUUCAUUGUCUAAGACUUUACAUUUUCCGUUUUCAAAAAUAAUAUAUUAUAUUCGCUAUCACACAUUUGACUUAUGCUCAAGAGAUUAUGUUUAAGGCCAUUAAUUAAUAAAACAUUGUCAAUAGGGGAAAGAUUUAUACUUAUCUUUCCAAUGCCUAUUAUUCUGCCUUUUUGGUUUUAAUCGAAUGUGACUGUACUUCCCUUUUCCUCAGACUUUGGAACUUACCUUUUUCCCAUUAUGUGACAUGAGCACUUAUUGUCCAAAUACCAUGAGAGUGGUUUCUUUUCUACCCUCAAACAGAUCCGUAAGAGAAACUAUUUUGUUUUCAAAGGAGAUCUAAACGACUUAAGGUUUCAAAACAAUCAAAGGAAAAAACCUAUGUUUGAGUUAUAGCCACCGAAACUAAGAAACAAAGACCAAAACGCACUCCGGAGGCUUCGGCGAGACAAACGACAGUGUUGCGGUUUGAUUCUGACACCAAGAAGUUGGAGCGUGACGAACACGUGCCGGAAGCUGAUUGAAGAGAAGCCGUGCGUGAUGAUGCGUGUGGAGGAGAAUGAGACAGCAACUACCAGGGAUGGGUCAUGCUCUUCGAGGUGCACAAAAUCCCUAACUCCACCAAGAAAAUGCGACAGUAGCGAUGACGGACAUCAGACAAGGAGGCGGGUUUGGCUGUCGCUCAAGGAGGCGAUCCAGAUUCACUGGGCGUCGGACGAAACUGUGACGAUGAACGGUGCGGUCAAUGACGGUGAACAGUGGAAAAAUAGCGAAAGUAGAUAAUGAGAUUAGAAUAACAAGAUUGCUAAUUGUAGAAAGGAAGACAAAUGUUUUUUUAAGACCGAGAAGAGAUUCAGACAACUUGUUCUAAUACCAACUUGAGAUAAAAAUAGUAAAGUAAUUCUCGAUGGUUUGAAAGAUCCCUCUCACUUUCAUUCUAUAUAUAAGAUAAAAUAACAGUCUUACCAUUCAAUUAACACAAAAAUUAAAU